rnacentral:lncRNA from 1 species
AAAAAAACGGGAUGGGUUCUUUCAAUGUUAAAUAAUCUGUUAUCGGAAUAAAAUACGUAUUAUCUAUUAAAUUAAUACUAAUACCUAUUCAUCACUAAUGAUAGAAUUCGGUAACACUGUUUAUCAGUGAUUAAUAACAUUCGAUAACUUAUUUUUAAUAGAUCACUGAUGUCUAUAUAUAUAAAAUUAUUAAAAAAAAAAUAAAAAAAAUUGUCAAACGCAGCGUGUGUAUCUUAGAUUCUCUACAAGCUCACUACUACAUUUGCAACAUAUGCAGACUUUGAC